rnacentral:misc_RNA from 1 species
UAUUUUCCUAUCAGCGUUCCCAAUCUAUCCCCAGGUGUUAACCAUGAACCAGAAACGAACCAUGAACCGCGCUUUUUUAAGCAGCUGGCCGUCUCAUUAAACCAACAAAGCGUUGAGAGCUAUGGAAUUACAGAGAGGAUUUCCUCUGCUAUACCAGCAAUCUAAAGCUCUAUUGAAGAAGAACCUGUUGCUUUCAUGGAGGAACAAGAGCGCCUCAUUCCUCCAGUUGUUUUCAUCCUUGUUCUUCAUUUUCCUCCUCUUCUGCAUCGAAAAAGCCAUGAACGCUGCCAACUCCGACACCACGGCGUAUAAGUCGGUACUCGAUCCUCAGCCUCUGGUUUCGCCGCCGAUCCCUCCCUGCGAGGACAAGUUCUACAUUAAGAAGCCUUGCUUCGACUUUGUAUGGAGCGGAAACUAUAGCGAUAGACUGAAUCGUAUUGUCAGUUCAAUCAUGGCAAAUAAUCCUGGCAGGGUGAUUACGUCCAAUAAGGUUAAAUCAUUCAGAACAACAGACGAUGUAGACUUUUGGCUUUUGAAUAAUCCUAUGCAUUGCCCUGGAGCUCUGCAUUUCAAAGAUAUAAAUGCCACUGUUAUCAGCUAUGGCGUACAGACUAAUUCUACCCGAGUUAUGAAUCGGGGGUAUUCUGAAGAUCCUACAUUCAAAUUUCAAAUCCCACUUCAGAUUGCAGCAGAGCGUGAAAUUGCUCGGUCUAUCAUUGGAGAUCCAAACUUUAGCUGGGUAGUUGGACUUAAAGAAUUUGCACACCCAGCAAAAAACAAUUUCUCUGUGUUGGCUUCAAUUGGACCAACUUUCUUUCUUGCGUUUGCCAUGUUUGGGUUUGUGAUGCAAAUUGGAUCUUUGGUGGUAGAGAAGGAACUCAAACUUCGCCAGGCAAUGAGUAUGACAGGUCUUUAUGAAUCUGCUUAUUGGUUCUCUUGGAUCACAUGGGAAGGAAUACUUUCACUCGUAUCAUCACUUCUCCUUGUUCUUUUUGGAAUGAUGUUUCAGUUUGACAUGUUCAAGAAAAACAAUUUUGCAGUUGUGUUUCUUGUGUUCUAUCUUUUUCAGCUCAAUAUGGUUGGUUUUGCGUUUUUGUUGUCAAACUUCAUUAGCAAGUCAUCUUCAGCCACAACAGUCGGUUUCUCCGUAUUUAUUGUUGGCUUUUUUACACAGAUUGUUACCAUAUUUGGAUUCCCAUAUGGUAUCCAUGUCGCUAGUAUUCUACGAACUCUCUGGUCAUUAUUCCCACCCAAUCUUCUUGGUAUAGCUGUGAAUUUGCUUGCUCAGGCAACUGCCACUCCUGAAGAUGUUGGGAUCAGCUGGAGUAGACGGUCAGAGUGUGUACGAGAUGAUAGUGCAGCAGACAAGUGUGUAAUAUCAAUUAAUGAUGUUUACUUAUGGCUUACAUCUACGUUCUUUGUCUGGUUUGUUUUGGCAAUCUACUUCGACAAUAUAAUUCCAAAUGCAUAUGGUGUCAGAAAACCUAUAUUUUAUUUCUUAAAGCCUGGGUAUUGGACUGGAAAAGGUGGAAAUAGAGUGGAAGAGGGUGGCAUUUGUAGUUGCAUGGGUUCAGUCCCACAACAAGAGCAUAUUACUCCAGAAGAUGAGGAUGUGCUUGAAGAGGAAAAUAUUGUUAAACAAGAAGCAAAAGAUGGCUUAGUCAAUCCAGAGGUUGCAGUUCAGGUACGUGGACUUGCAAAGGUAUAUGCUGGGACUACGAAGAUUGGUUGUUGUAAAUGCAAGAAAACUUCACCUUACCAUGCUCUCAAGGGCUUAUGGAUGAACUUUGCAAAGGAUCAGUUAUUUUGUCUCCUUGGACCAAAUGGCGCUGGAAAAACUACCGCAAUCAAUUGUUUGACAGGCUUAACACCUGUGACCAGUGGAGAUGCUUUGAUUUAUGGAUAUUCCAUUCGGAGCCCUGUUGGCAUGUCCAACAUUCGAAGAAUCAUAGGAGUUUGUCCCCAGUUUGACAUCCUUUGGGAUGCAUUAUCUGGUGCAGAGCAUCUCCAUCUCUUUGCUAGCAUUAAAGGCCUACCCCCAGAUUCAAUAAAUUUGGUUGCUGAGGAAUCAUUAGCAGAGGUAAGACUCACUGAGGCAGCUAAAGUGAGAACCAGGAGUUACAGUGGAGGAAUGAGACGCCGGCUCAGUGUUGCAAUAGCACUUAUUGGGAACCCAAAGUUGGUCAUUCUAGACGAACCGACUACUGGUAUGGAUCCAAUAUCGAGAAGACAUGUCUGGGAUAUAAUACAGAAUGCAAAGAAAGGUCGUUCCAUUGUCCUGACAACACAUUCAAUGGAAGAAGCUGACAUUCUAAGUGAUCGCAUAGGAAUUAUGGCCAAGGGUAGGCUCCGAUGCAUCGGAACAUCAAUCAGGUUGAAGUCGAGAUUCGGUACCGGUUUCAUCACUAAUGUGAGCUUUAUUGAAAGCAAUGCUGAACAAUCUCCUCCAAAUGCAUCCGUGGAUCUUUCCAAUCAACACGAGGAUGUAAAGCAGUUUUUCAAAUAUCAUUUGGAUGUAAUGCCAGCAGAGGAGACCAAAUCCUACCUGACUUUUGUCAUUCCCCAUGAUAGGGAGAAGCUUUUAACGAGAUUUUUUUCGGAGCUUCAAGAUAGAGAAAGAGAAUUUGCUAUAGCCGAUAUCCAAAUUGGCCUUGCAACGCUUGAAGAAGUUUUCUUAAAUAUUGCCAAGCAGGCAGAGCUAGAAAGUGCUGCAGCUGAGGGGAGGUUGGUUACUUUGACCUUAACAUCUGGAGCCUCAGUUCAGAUACCUAUAGGAGCUAGAUUUGUUGGGAUUCCGGGAACACAAUCUCCAGAGAAUCCUAGAGGCAUAAUGGUUGAAGUAUACUGGGAGCAAGAUGAUUCCGGUUCUCUCUGCAUUUCUGGUCACUCUGCUGAAAUGCCUCUGCCUCUUAACGUUCAACAAUUUAUUUCUGCAUCACAGCCACGUUCUAAUAUAAAUUUCCUCCGCCGGGGUAAAGAACCAGUUUAUGGAAUCAUGAUCGAUCCGAAUCAGAUUAGUCCUAGUAAUUAUUAACAAUCAUAAACUCUUAUUUAUUCUAUUAUUCUACACCUCUCUGAUUUAGCGGUAUUAGUCCAUAGCUUUUUCUUUGGCUAUUUGUAUAGGACUUGAUAUUUGAAUAGUUCAAAAUAAUAUCUCUAUUUCCCUUCUGG